AGCAGUCGCCGCGGUAAUACAGAGGGUGCGAGCGUUAAUCGGAUUUACUGGGCGUAAAGCGUGCGUAGGCGGCUUCUUAAGUCGGAUGUGAAAUCCCUGAGCUUAACUUAGGAAUUGCAUUCGAUACUGGGAAGCUAGAGUAUGGGAGAGGAUGGUAGAAUUCCAGGUGUAGCGGUGAAAUGCGUAGAGAUCUGGAGGAAUACCGAUGGCGAAGGCAGCCAUCUGGCCUAAUACUGACGCUCAUGCACGAAAGCGUGGGGAGCAAACAGGAUUAGAUACCCGCGUAGUCCCUGUCUCUUAUAC
rnacentral:rRNA from 1 species